rnacentral:rRNA from 1 species
GUGGGGAAUAUUGGACAAUGGGCGCAAGCCUGAUCCAGCCAUGCCGCGUGAGUGAUGAAGGCCUUAGGGUUGUAAAGCUCUUUCAGUGGGGAAGAUAAUGACGGUACCCACAGAAGAAGCCCCGGCUAACUUCGUGCCAGCAGCCGCGGUAAUACGAAGGGGGCUAGCGUUGUUCGGAUUUACUGGGCGUAAAGCGCACGUAGGCGGAUUGGUCAGUUAGGGGUGAAAUCCCAGAGCUCAACUCUGGAACUGCCUUUAAUACUGCCAGUCUCGAGUCCGGAAGAGGUGAGUGGAACUCCUAGUGUAGAGGUGGAAUUCGUAGAUAUUAGGAAGAACACCAGUGGCGAAGGCGGCUCACUGGUCCGGUACUGACGCUGAGGUGCGAAAGCGUGGGGAGCAAACAGGAUUAGAAACCCGAGUAGUCC